GUCUAUGCCAUGCCACCUUGAACAAGCCCAAUCCCGUCUGAUCUCAGAAACUAAGCAGGGUUAGGCCUGGUUAGUGCUUGGCUGGGAGACCACCUAGGAAGAUCAGGUGCUGUAGGCA
rnacentral:rRNA from 1 species